UACGGAGGGUGCAAGCGUUAUCCGGAUUCACUGGGUUUAAAGGGUGCGUAGGUGGGUAAGUAAGUCAGUGGUGAAAUCUCCGGGCUUAACCCGGAAACUGCCAUUGAUACUAUUUGUCUUGAAUACUGUGGAGGUCAGCGGAAUAUGUUAUGUAGCGGUGAAAUGCUUAGAUAUGACAUAGAACACCAAUUGCGAAGGCAGCUGGCUACACAAAUAUUGACACUGAGGCACGAAAGCGUGGGGAUCAAACAGG
rnacentral:rRNA from 1 species